GAUGAACGCUAGCGGCAGGCCUAAUACAUGCAAGACGAACGGUAAGUUGAGUAGCAAUACUUAGCCAAGAGUGUCGUACGGGUGCGUAACACGUAUGCAACCUACCCUAUACAGGAGGAUAGCCUAGGGAAACCUGGAUUAACCCUUCAUAGUAUUAUUGGAUGGCAUCAUUUGAUAAUUAAAAACUGAGGUGGUAUAGGAUGGGCAUGCGUCUGAUUAGUUAGUUGGCGGGGUAAUGGCCCACCAAGACGAUGAUCAGUAGGGGUUCUGAGAGGAAGAUCCCCACACUGGCACUGAGAUACGGGCCAGACUCCUACGGGAGGCAGCAGUAGGGAAUAUUGGUUCGAAUAGGAUGCAAGUCUGAA
rnacentral:rRNA from 1 species